ensembl:lncRNA
UGGGAAGAGUGCCAGACCCUUCCUUCCUUCCUUCCUUUCCUUCUUUCUUUUUUUCUUUCUUCCCCCUCCUUCCUUCCCUACCUCUCUCUCUUUCUCUCUUCCUCACACCCUCUCUUCCUUUUUCCCUCCCUUCCUUUCUUUUCUUCCUCUCCUUCCCUUGCUCUUCCUCUUCAUUCGCCCCUCCCUCCCUCUCUUUCUCUCACCCAUUUUAAGACUACCUACUGACACCAUUGGUGUUACUGCUCACAGAACCUGAUCCCCCCACUUCCACUGCAGUAUUCUAUCCUGACUUCUGGAAGGGGCCAGUGGAGACCAGACUGGCCCUCAAAAAGAAAAAGGAAUGGAGGCACAGACUCUGAUCAGCUGGUGGCAGUUCUGUCAGAGAGACAGACAGACAAAGAGAGAGACAGAGACACAGAGUCAGAGAAUGUUGAAUGUGUGGUUUGUGGGUACACGGGGAGCCCCCUGAGGAGUGAGGCUCAGACACUGACCUCGAAGAACUUGGUGUUCCUGGGACAGAAGAUGAAUGGCCGUGAAGUAUGACUUAUAAAACAUUCAGAACUUUGGCAGCUCCAAAGCAUUGGAAUCUCUGCUCUCAGACACACACCUUUGUAUCCUAACUCUGAAAAGCCAUGGCUGUGUGAGAUUGUGUAACCAGGAGACCCACCACCCCGGUAAGGGAGCUUGUCCUGUAAGAGGGGCACCUCUGAAGGGCCCAGAUGACAGGAGCAGCAGGGAGGCUGUGGAGAGGGUAGCUGGAGGUGGCUCCCGCCCCUGGCACGUAACUCCUGGGAUGUACACACAGAAUCACAGCUACACAUCUGUUGACGAUUCCUAUCGUAUCCCCUCCACAUGUUGGCUCCUUCUGAUGAAUCCCUUGGGGCUUCCCUCUUUCCUCCCUUCUAUCAGAUCUCACUUUCUGAUUGUAACUUGAGUUGGGAUAGGGGGAGGCACACACUCUGUCUGAUUUCACCACUUCCUCGGGGGCCCUGAUUACCAGGUUAAAGGUGUGCAUGCGUGUGUGUGUGUGUGUGUGUGUGUGUGCGUUUAUACCAGUUGCUGUUGCUAUUCAGUCAACAAGUCAUGUCUGACUCUUUUUGACCCCAUGAACUGCAGAAUAUCAGGCUUCCCUGUCCUCCACUAUCUCCCAGAGUUUGCUCAAAUUCACGGCCAUUGAGUUGGUGAUGCCAUCCAACCAUCUCAUCCUCUGUCGUUCUCUUCUUCUCCUGCCUUCAAUCUUUCCCAGCAUCAGGGUCUUUUCCAAUGAGUCAGUUCGUCGCAUCAUGUGGCCAAAGUAUUGGAGCUUCAGCUUCAGCAUCAGUCCUUCCAAUGAAUACUCAGAGUUGAUUUCCUUAUGAUUGACUGGUUUGAUCUUCUUGCAGUCCAAGGGACUCAGAAGAGUCUUCUCCAGCAGCAUAGUUCGAAAGCAUCAGUUCAUUAUUGUUCAGCUUUCUUUAUGGCCCAACUCUCACAUCCAUACAUGACCACUGGGGAAACCAUAGCUUUGACUAGAUGGACCUUUGUUGGCAAUAGAUAGAUUUUUUUGUGCAGAACGUGGCUCAUGGGGAUGAUUCAUCCUCAGCUGUUUCACACUUGGGGCUUAGGAAAUUCAUGUCCAAUCAGCGGAGAACCAAUGGCCCAGAAGUUCUCUUAUCAACUUCUGAUAGGAGUUUGCAGCCCAUAAAACUCAGCUAGCACACUCCCUGCAGAGAAAACACCUGCACCUGGGCUUCUUGGCCCAGAAGGUUGUUAUUUAGUCACUGGUGAGUAAAGGGCACCAUUGUUCCUCCCCUCCCUUGUCACUAAAGAAAAACAAUCUGGCUCUGGCAGCGGGCAACUUGCCGGGGACCCUCACUGGAUGCUUCUCUGAUAGAUCCUGCAGCCCGUGAGAAAAGGAGUGAUGGUAGUUUUCCUGGAUGAGCAGGGAGUGAUGCUGUGAUGGUGUUUUCCUGAAAUCCCAUCAACACUUGCAUGCGGACACUGUUUUGGUAAAUUAACGCUUCCCAGCACUAAAAUCAUUCAUGUCAUUAUUUCUAAAUAACAAGACUCAUGAAAGUGACAGAAGACAGUGGUGUAUGACCUGCAACCAGAAAGCAAACACGGAAUGCUUUUCAAACUUCAGUUAAGAAUUUCAGCCCGAAUCUCAGUCAGUUGUGGCAAGGUGGAUGAACUGAGAGCCUGUUAUACAGAGUUAAGUAAGUCAGGAAGAGAAAAACAAAUAUGAUGUAUUAAUGCACAUAUUCAUAUCCCCUAUCACGCUGAAGCUGAAGCUCCAAUGCUUUGACCACCUGAUGUGAAGAGUCGACUCACUGGAAAAGACCCUGAUGUUGGGAAAGUUUGAAGGCACGAGGAGAAGGGGGAGACAGAGGAUGAGAUGGUUGGGAUACAUCACUGACUGACUGGACAUGGUCUUGGGCAAGAUCUGAGAGACAGUGAAGGACAGGGAAGCCUGGAGUGCUGCUGUCCCUGGGGUCGCAAAGAGUUGGACAUGUCUUAAUGACUAACCAGCAACAACAACAGCACAUAUAUAUGGAAUCUAGAAAAAAAUGGUGCUGAUGAACCUAUUUGCAGGACAGCAAUAGAAAUGCAGAAGUUAGAAAACAGACUUGUGGACAUAGUGAGACAAGAAGAAGGUGGGACAAAUUGAGAGAGUAGCAUUGAAACAUAUACAUUACUAUAUGUAAAAUAAAUAGCUGGUGGAAAGCUGCUGUAUAACACAGGGAGCUUAACCCAGUGCUCUGUGACAACCUAGAGAGGUGGG